UACGGGGGGGGCAAGCGUUGUUCGGAAUUACUGGGCGUAAAGGGCGCGUAGGCGGCCUGCUAAGUCAUACGUGAAAUCCCAUGGCUCAACCAUGGAACUGCGUGUGAUACUGGCGGGCUUGAAUUCGGGAGAGGGAUGCGGAAUUCCAGGUGUAGCGGUGAAAUGCGUAGAUAUCUGGAGGAACACCGGUGGCGAAGGCGGCAUCCUGGACCGAGAUUGACGCUGAGGCGCGAAAGCCAGGGGAGCAAACGGG
rnacentral:rRNA from 1 species